rnacentral:rRNA from 2 species
GUGCGAGACCGAUAGCGAACAAGUACCGUGAGGGAAAGAUGAAAAGAACUUUGAAAAGAGAGUUAAAGAGUACCUGAAACUGCUGAAAGGGAAUCGAAUCGUUUCCAGUGUCUAUAAUCCGUAGCAUAUUUCAUUGGCGCGUGAAUGCGUACAGUAUUUUGGAAGUGGUUUUCCUCUCCUGGUGCUGUUGUGCGUUUUCUUGCUGGUGCCCUCUGUUGCGGUGGGACGUCAGAGUCAGUUCGUAUGCUGCGGGAAAUGGUUGUCAGGGAGGUAGGUCGCUUCGGUGGCUGUUAUAUCCUGGCAUACUAGUCGUCGUGGUUGGGACUGAGGUGCCUACAACGUGCUUUUGAGUCUUUGGGUAUCUCGUUUGUUUGUUUGCUUGGACAGCUUGCUGUGUUUGUGAAUAUAUCGGGCGUUUGAUGCUUGUCGUAACUUGUUGCUGUUCGGGACUUUGA